UCCAAAACUACCCCCAUAAAUAUCCCAAACCUUCAGCAUGCAAUUCUCUCCCUCCCGCAUUUUUCCUUCUUCUUCAACGUCCAAUUUUCUGCAACAAAGAUUUCGAUUGAUUCUGGAUUUCUCUCAUUUACAAUUGGUUUCGAUUUCGAAUUUCUCAACUGGAGUAUUCGAUUUCGAUUUGCUCAGCAGGAGUUCUUUAAAGCUGAUUUGUGGAGGGUUUUUGUUCAAUUUUUUGGUUGAAGUUCGUCUACUGGUUUGGUCACAUUCUCUCAUUCUAAUAGGUUAUUUGUUUAGAAAUGCCUAGAUGCUUCUUCUCCACCUGUAGAGUCACAAAAGAUAAGACAACUGGCUGAGAAGAUGUCAGUGAAGUAUGAAAAGAGACAACAACAGGCCUAAUGGAGAAGUAAAAAUAGAGGGUCUGGGAGAAGUACUCAAAUGAGGAAUGAGUCUACCAGUUUUAAUUCCAUUCGUCGAAGAGGGUGCAACUGGCCUUUUGAUAGAAGGAGAUGGCAUCCGAUCAGAUUGGAAUUUUGGAUGAAAUAUGGAUGGUCCUAUCAAGAUUAAGGGCGAAGAAGUCAAAUUAGUCUUGGAGCUUGGUGCUAGGGUUUCAGAUUGCGUGGCAAAGAAUCCAGGAGAAGAUUGCAGUGUAUCUUCUCUCUCAAUAUAUCUCAUCUAUAGUUGGUACAGUCGAUCAACACAUGAUAAAUGGAGAUGAUAUAAAAUUGGAAAAUUGAAAUCACAUCUAUAUUGAAAUAGGAAAAAAAUUACAUCUUUUAUUUUAAUUUCAAAACAUGGGAAUGCUUAAAAAAAUUGACAAUACAAAAUUAGAUACACUAGAUAUUCGAUUGAGGGCC